GCGAGUUUGCUGUGGUGUCUGAGCUUGUGAACCGCUACCUCCCGUGCGGUGCGGUUUACGGUUUUGCCCAAGGUGUCCGUUAACUGAAGGAAAUUGCACCACUUCAUCAGAGAACUAGAGUACUUUCUCUCAGCAAGGCUGAGAAUAGACCUGAGAAACUGGCAGGUACAUCUUGUUCCAAAGUCCUGUGUUGCGUACUGUGAUGCUGGUGUUUUUUUUCUGAUACUCCCCAUCUUGGUUAACUGAGUCCAUAUCAAGUGUACCCAGGUUCACAUGGUGGGUGGUUUCUUUCCCAGGUUGUGGGCAUUGCAGAGGCCUAGUUGAGGAUGCACUUCUUGGAUUGUGGUCUGGGAGUUGGUCAAUCUCCUGGAUGUGUGGUGGUUGAAGGGCCAACUUGAGAACCUCAUCUGAACUAAGGCGCUUACUACCUUGUGUUGGUUUCCUGCAGCAUGUCUUCUGUCGUGAAGUGGGAACCACAUCAUGAGGCUGCAGGCAGACACUGCCUAGGUGGAAGCUCUGCUCUGUGAAGGAGAAUUGGCUGCUUGGAUCUGCACAGGCAUCAUGACUUGGACCUACUCCUGAGGCAUGCCACCCCCUGACUGGAUUUGAGGUGCCAGUUAAUUCUGGUCCUGACCAUCUGUCCUAAAAUGGGUCCAUACAGACCUUGUGUGCAUACAGGUUUGAAAUCCUUGGCAGCAGUCCUGGCCAGACACGGAUGAAAAAGGGUCCAUACAGAAAAACGAUCUGAAUGUGUGCUGAGGAGUGGGGAGGUCCAUGCCACGUUUCCGGACCUGAUUUCAACGAGGUUGCCUGCAUCCUCAGUGAUUUGGGUCCCAGCUACCCCCAAGCUCUACUCCCUCCCUGUCUGCGUCAAGACUUUUUUUUUUUUUUUUUUUUUUUUUUUGCCAUCACCAUGUUCCAGCAUGGCUUUUCCCUUGUACUACAGUGUUUAUUUCAAUAAAUGUGUGGCUUUCACAUUG
ensembl:lncRNA